AAUUGGUGAUAAGCACUUUUCUUGUAAAUUUUGUACUUUAUCGUAUUAUGUCUAUUUCUUGUAAAAUGGAUUAAACA